UGAAGACUGCUGGCCUAGUGCAGUCCUGGCCCACCUCCUGCCUUCGGGCACUCAAACCCAGCCAGACAUUGAUGAACUAUGGAUUUCCUGGAAAGAAGCUUCUUUCCUUGCUGAAUUCAGCACACAUAUUGAGUACCUGCUGAUGCAAGGCUUUGGCCAGGAGAACUGCCUUACAGCGAGGGACGGUAACUCACCUGCCACUAUAGAGGGGAAGGCUGACUGGUGACAAAUUCAAAUACAGUACUUACAAUAAAAUAAAUAUUGUAUUAUAAGGAUAAGAAUGUAUGUUUAAAAGUGUUGUGAGCAAAAAGGAAAAGCACAAUAAAUUGUGAUUGAAGAAAUGU